UACGUAGGUGGCGAGCGUUGUCCGGAAUUAUUGGGCGUAAAGAGCUCGUAGGCGGUGUGUCGCGUCGGCCGUGAAAACCUGGGGCUUAACUCUGGGCGUGCGGUCGAUACGGGCAGGCUGGAGUUCGGUAGGGGAGACUGGAAUUCCUGGUGUAGCGGUGAAAUGCGCAGAUAUCAGGAGGAACACCAGUGGCGAAGGCGGCUUACUGGUCCGGUUCUGACGCUGAGGCGCGAAAGCGUGGGGAGCAAACAGG
rnacentral:rRNA from 1 species